rnacentral:rRNA from 1 species
CACGGAGUUAGCCGGGGCUUAUUCUCCCGGUACUGUCAUUAUCAUCCCGGGUAAAAGGGCUUUACAACCCUAAGGCCUUCAUCACUCACGCGGCAUUGCUGGAUCAGGCUUGCGCCCAUUGUCCAAUAUUCCCCACUGCUGCCUCCCGUAGGAGUCUGGGCCGUGUCUCAGUCCCAGUGUGGCUGAUCAUCCUCUCAGACCAGCUAAGGAUCGUCGGCUUGGUAGGCCUUUUACCCCACCAACUACCUAAUCCUACGCGGGCUCAUCCCAGGGCGAUAAAUCUUUGGAUUUUCAUCAUCAUCCGGUAUUAGCAGCAGUUUCCCGCUGUUAUCCCGAACCCCAGGCAGAUUCCCACGCGUUACGCACCCGUGCGCCACUAUGCCCGAAAGCAUCGUUCGACUUGCAUGUGUUAGGCAUGCCGCCAGCGUUCGUUCUGAGCCAGGAUCAAACUCU